rnacentral:rRNA from 1 species
CCUAACACAUGCAAGUCGAACGCGAAAGCACUUCGGUGUGAGUAGAGUGGCGGACGGGUGAGUAACGCGUGGGAAUCUACCUAGUAGUGGAGGAUAACUCGGGGAAACUCGAGCUAAUACUGCAUACGCCCUACGGGGGAAAGCGGGGGAUCUUCGCACCUCGUGCUAUUGGAUGAGCCCGCGUUAGAUUAGCUUGUUGGUGAGGUAAUGGCUCACCAAGGCGACGAUCUAUAGCUGGUCUGAGAGGAUGAUCAGCCACAUUGGGACUGAUACACGGCCCAAACUCCUACGGGAGGCAGCAGUGGGGAAUAUUGCGCAAUGGGCGAAAGCCUGACGCAGCCAUGCCGCGUGUGUGAAGAAGGCCUUUCGGGUUGUAAAGCACUUUCAAUAGGGAGGAAAGGUUGUAGUUUAAUACGCUGCCACCUGUGAC